rnacentral:tRNA from 2 species
GGACAGGUGGUCGAGUGGUUGAAGGCACCGCACUCGAAAUGCGGCGUACGUGCAAGCGUACCGUGGGUUCGAAUCCCACCCUGUCCGCCA